rnacentral:lncRNA from 1 species
UCAUUUCGUGCUGUGGAGUCGAGAGCAGAAUCAUCAGAUAAUAUCUAAAUCUUCUGCUAACGGAUGAAUAUGCAUGAGAAGUGAAAUAACUGGAUGCUGUUUUUUUUUUUUUUUUUUUUUUUNCAGAAUCAUCAGAUAAUAUCUAAAUCUUCUGCUAACGGAUGAAUAUGCAUGAGAAGUGAAAUAACUGGAUGCUGUUUUUUUUUUUUUUUUUUUUUUUUUUUUUUUUUUUUUUUUUUUCCUUUUCUUUUUGUACUUUUUCCAUCUUACUGCCAUACGCAAAGUCUUUAUUCUGGGUGUCCGUUGCAUGCACUGAUAUCCUGAUUUAUUUGCGAAAGAAAAGCUGUUGUAUCAUAGUUAAUCGUGGAGAUAAUUGUUGUCCAUUAUUUGCAAAACAUUUCGCUUCUGCAUCAGAUGAUGUCUGGUAAAUAUCGAUAGAUGGAG